UCCCCUGCCCAUUAUGAUCUGAUCGCUCAAGCUAUGGUACGGAAAAUCCUCAAAUUCUUCUAGUAUCUCAUACUUAUGUAGUAAAUUGAUUUCCUGCGUAAUCGCUGUAAAGUUUAGUUGUUCAACUCUGCAAACUGCAGGUGCUCUGCUCCGUGGUAGCCUGGUAGGAGUCACAUCAAUAGAAAAAUCUUCUGAACAUUGGGCGUACAUACAAUUUGCAUGUUCGCUCGGUCUGAUUGCUUCUCGGUUGGGUUGCGUGUUGCUUACAGAUCAUGGGGAGAGAUGAAAAACUACCAGCCUGGACGGUGCUCGUCGUGUCUGGCGUAUAACCUGUUGCGUGGCAAUGACAGCUUUGCGGGGCAGUAGUGUUGGCGCCGGGCGCCAGCAACCACCUUUGGCUCCGCUCCUUGUCACUGUUUUUCCAUCCGUCCUCGUGCGCGGCCCUGGCGGCAAAACUCUAGACAUCAGGCGGGGAUUGGUGACCAUCAACAUUGUUGCCUUGGAGCUACCAGCGGACGAUUCCACCUCUGACGUUUCAUGCCCGAGCGCUAUUUAUUGGACUCACUCCACUUGAUCUCAAAUGAUGCGAUCAUACAGGUCUGUCUAGCCGCCUCCCUUGUCUGUUUGUAGUUGCUACUUUCUGGCAAGUACAAAUUGGUCUAGCCACAGCCCACAGCCGCACAUGUCCCUCUGCAUUCAAACAAAUGGAAUUAAGUUUCGAAGUUAGUAGAAAACUGGUAACAUGUUGAGAAUUUUCACAUCACACAACCAAGUAAAAUCUGAUAGACAGGGGACACGAAAACGCAUCCAUGUUUUGAUUGCAUCCAUGUAUUCAACAAUCACAUAGCAUUUAUGUUUCACCCGGCAAAAAAAAGAUCACAGAACAUAUUUUACUUGAAAUUUCUUCAUUACCUUAGUGAAUUAGAGAAUAGAACGAUAAUGUAUCUUUUGUUAUGAGCAUGAUUGCAUGAAUAGUAUAUCUAAUUCAGCAAAAAAAAGGAUCGGGAGGAAAUAUUUGUUAGUUGGAAACCAACUAUAUCAGUUAUAAUAUUCGAAUAUGCUAAUUAUUUGCUUAAUGAAAUGCUCACUAUAUAUAUUCAGAAGUAUAACAGAGUUAUAUUGGUGUUACUCUGCUGAUUUGGCUCUACUUCUCCUGUUUGCAGAGAGGAUUUUCUUCUUUCUGCUAUCUUGCAGUUCUUAUCUAAUAAUGGCUAUCAUUUGCCAUUGAUAAUAUUAUCUCGUAGUUUAAUUCUGCCUAUAGCGCAGGAUUUGAUUUCAUUCAGCAUCCAUUAUUUAGCUACUUCAACAUCCUACUAGCCUUGCUAUCUCUAAGGAGAAACAUAAAUGCCUAAUCAUGUUGUCAUUCCUGACACUGCAAAAUGGUCAUGUUUUUCAUGCCCAGCAGGUGUUGAUAAAGCAUGCAAAUCAUUUACCAUCUCUUUGCCCAUUUGAGGGGAGAGCAUUUCAAAGGAAUCAUGGACUGGAGGUGUAAGGUUAGAUGGCAAACUAUUUUGCUCACGCAGUUUGAUGACAAAAUUCAUGAAGUCAACUUCCCUGUUUAUUUGGCUCAUGAUUAAUGUUUUUUUAACUUCCAAAUGUUGGCUAGCAAUUGAUAUACUAUGAUCAAACAUGUCAUAAUUCAUUGAUUUAUGGUCACUAUUACAUUUGAUAAUUUAUAAUCACAUAAAUGAACUUAAAUGUUCCGGGCCUGGCAUGUUAGCAUUGGUUUACAUUAUAGUACAAUGAAUAUAUGAUGGAAACAAUGUCGCAAGAUCACUCAGCACUAUAGGCCGGCACGGCAGAACAUGCAUACGCUUCUAGUUUACAUGACGAGUACUUCAUUUGCUUGCAUCAUGCAUGCAUGUAGCUUUCAAAAUAAAUUAUUAUGUUGUAACAAAACCUUAAUCUAAGAAGACCGAAAGUAUGUGUAGAAUAACGCUACUUAGUGCAUUCCUAGUACAUGAUAUCGGAACUCCUGGAAAUUAUCAUUCUUGAGCUGAUUAUGUGUCUCCAUUCACACCUCUUCCUAUUUAAUUGCAGAAUGCUCAUACUGAAAAUAGCAAUGCAGCCAAGUUAGGUGGUCUUCACCAAGUCACUAAGCAGGUACAUAUAUGCUGGGUAUCCAAACAGUUGUAUAAUUGUAGUUGGUCUAAUUCUCUAUGACAUUGUCCUUCUUUGCGUAAAGUGAAAUCUUCCCAGUUUUAUGAAUAACAAUGUUUCAUUUCUUGCAAAACUGGGAUAAGACUGAAGUCUUGUUCUUUUCAAUCAAUUUGAGAAAUAAAAACAAACCCAUGACCAAUGGAACUUUAGGGGGUAAAGAUAGAACAUAUGUGGUUGAAGGAAACAUGCUUGGAGAGCAGUACUCCCUCCGUCCGAAAAAGCUUGCCCCUCAAAUGAAUGUAUCUAGCACCAAGUUAGUGCUAGAUACAUCCAUUUGAGGGACAAGCUUGGGACAAGCUUUUUUGGACGGAGGGAGUAUGUUGCAUUCUCUGUCCGUGGCUCUACAAAUCUAGGAGAUGUGAACUGGUUAGACCAUAUGAAAAAUUCCAACCAGUAGGAGAUGUUGGUUAUGUUUUUGCUUGGCCUUGCUCACAUGUAAGUAUGUUUCCAUACAAGCAUCGAGUGUGCUCCAAUAUCCACAUUUAAGAUACUUCAGUGAUAUAAAAUCUUUGUGGCUUUUUGGUACAAAAAACUAAGCCAACCAUUCAAACGAAGCAUUUGUAUGAUACACUUCUUAUAAUUUAUCAAAGAACAUCUUAUCUUGCACUUGUCUAAAACAUUGUUCAUUUUCAUUUUCAGGGCGGUUGAGGAUUUCAAAAGAGAGUGCAUUAAGGGAGCUAGGAGUAAUUGGGUAGUUGAGGAUUUGAAAAGGGAGUGCACUGAAGGAGCCAGGAUCAGUUGAUGAAACAGUCUGUGAAUGAACAAGUAUUGUGGCUUAUGUUAUAUUUUAGCUUAAUGAGAACCAUAGUUCUAGACUAUAGGAUAUUUUCUUAUUUAUUUGCAUGUUCUGUAUGAAUGUCUCUUAAUAUUCAGUUUUGAACUUCGGUGUAUGUAUCUGUUCGGGCUAAUUGCUCCACUCAGCUUGCCUUUUUUUAAGGGGAACUCAGCCUGUCAAUUUUGAUAACGCGAUGUUUGCAAAUGCAAUCUAUGACGUGGAAUGGUUCCUUCAUAUAAUGAUAUUGUUU
rnacentral:lncRNA from 1 species